UGGAAGUAAAGAAAGAUUAUCAGUAUUAAUAUUAUAUAGUGAGGCUGUUUCUAUUGAGUGCAUUAUGCACUGAGUGCAUUAUGUACUGCAUAGGCAAUCAACAUUACUGCACUUCAGGAAGUUAAUCUAAAGUGAUGUAAUCUAGUCUUGUUACUAAAGAUAGCCACAGGCAUGCCAACAGCAACCUAUAAAAGAGAGCAAAAAUUCCAGCUUGGAACUGCAUUUGUAGCCCAUUAUUGACCUGGAGAGGAUGUCUUCCACCCAACCUACAAUAGCAGAGUUUAACCUAGAUGGAGAUGUACAGCGCCGUAGGAAUGGGCCUGCAAACAACAUGGAAGAGAUCCCAUCUCAACCUAACAACCAACAGAAUCCAGGCAAUGAACAAGCAGAGUGGAAAAACGAGCAAAACAGGAAUGGAAACCGAAAAAUGGAUCAGCAACCAAGGGUAGCUGAGACAUCAUCAGGAUGCACUACAUUUGCAAUGGUGGUGUUAGCUCUGUUGCUGGUGGUUGCAGCCAUAACAAUACCUAUCUUUUGGAAAAAUACAAUUUGUGACCACAGAAUUACAGUAGCUAAAGCAGAAGAAAGAUCGAAAUUUGACGAACUGAAGAAUGAGCUAAAGCUACAAGUACGAACACUGGAAAUGCAAACAACAAAAUUGGAAAUAGAAAAGGAGCAAUUUAAAAACGAGAAGAUCACACUAACUGCAAAGAUUGAACAUUUAGAAAGCGACCUCAAGGAAUUGAGACUAGUAAAGACUACAUUAGUUGGUGAGAACACUCAACUCAAGAAUCAAGUCAGUCAAAUUGAUAUCCAAAAAAUGAGCUUCUUAUUGAAAAAAGGGAAGAGAAAAUGAAAUUAAGUGCAAAAGAAAGCGAACGCGAGAAAAUGAGAGAUGAAAAGAUGACAUUGCAACUACAAUUCACUGAAAAGACAACUUUGGUAGACCAUUUGAAGGACAAAAAGGAUCAGUGCGAGCUGGAAAAGAAAGAAUUGGAAAUCAGAAACACCCACCUGAUUGAAGGUAAGAAUGAACUAAACAUUAAGCUUGCUACUACACAGGAGAAACUUGAAGUGGCUGAAGAGAAAGAAAAAAGUUGUGGGCGCAUAAUCGGAACAAAGUGGUUGGAACAGUUAAGUAUUGGACAAGCAAGAGAUGGAAAAACUAUCGAACUUUUGUCGAGUGAGAUUGAACAGCACAAGCACGCAUUGGUUCUAGCCAAGAAUGCAGCACUGGCCAAUGACAAGGAGUGUAAGGGGACUAUCUGUCAAUUAAUCAAGAGUGCAACAGACACAUUUUUUUCGUAAACAAUAAACUGUAAACAUAAUUAAAUUGCUGCUAGUGAUGUAUACAUGCAUGUAUGAUGUAUACAUGCAUGUAUGAUGUUUAAACUAAUACCUGCGAAUUAUUGCAAAACUGACAA